rnacentral:ncRNA from 1 species
UUGACAGUCCAAAUACCACCUGCCUCCGUGAGAUACAUGGAGUGGGGCAUUCAGAAGAGAAUGCCUGCGACUAGUUCGCUUGAUGACGUGGCACAUAGGACAC